rnacentral:rRNA from 1 species
UACAGAGGAGCCAAGCGUUGUCCGGAUUGACUGGGCGUAAAGCGCACGCAGGCGGACGCGCGCGUGGGGUGUGAAAUCUGGCCGCUUAACGGCCAGGGGCCAUCCCAUACGGCGGGUCUGGAGCGAUGCAGAGGUCGGUGGAAUUGCCGGUGUAGUGGUGAAAUGCGUAGAGAUCGGGAAGAACAUCGGUGGCGAAGGCGCUCUACUGGACCACAACUGACACUCAGGGACGAAAGCUAGGGGAGCGAAUGGG